UGCUUACCAAUUAUCUUAUAACUAAUAUCUUAAAUUUAUUAAAAUCCAUUCACAUUUUAUCAGUGAUUCUAUGUUUUAAUCCCUAUAGUACAUUGUUACCUGUUUUCUCACAUAUUUCACUCAUCACGAAUAGUGAUUUGACUAGGGACCUAAAUGCCCUGAAUAUCAGACAUACACAAACAAGCCUAAACAUUCGUACCAGAGAGUACUGUAUAAACAAAGACUGGGAGCAAACAAAACAAAUAUGGAUAUCAUUGUAAAACCAUAGCAAAAGUUGAAAUAGUUUCAAUCACAUUUUAGUGUAAUUCUAUUAAAUAAAUUAGCUUGAAAUUAUAUGUUCACCAUAUUCGCCUAAAAUAAAAAAAAAAAAAAGGUUUACUAAAAAAUGCUUCGAACUUCGCUUUAUAAGUUAAUGGUCAACCUGAGUCGUUGCGAGUAACAAGAUAAAAAAAAUAAAGGAUGUUUUGCUCUCUAAACACAUAUAGAGAUCAAGUUUAAUUCUUAUCCCCUCUAUUUGAUGUUAGUAGAAAACGAUAUAUUUAUGAAUUUCCAAAGCUAAAGAUAUCUUCAUGAAGAUAUUCUACUAAUCUAG
rnacentral:lncRNA from 1 species